rnacentral:lncRNA from 1 species
CGGGACUGGAGGUUACAGCUGCCUGGGAGGCAGCCUGCAGGCACAGCCAAUUCGUUGUUUGCAGUAUAGUUAUGGUCUAUAAGGACCCCGCAGACACUGCAUUAGCAGAUCCCAAGACAUUUCUCCAGGGGAAAUGCGGGGUUAGGUUCCUGUGGGCCUCUGGUGAGCCAAUCAAUAUAUAACCUGACUUGCAUGUGUCUGCUUAAAGACACCUUAUUCAACGUACUGUUGAUUCAUUAACACUGAACCUGCACCCAGCAGCUGAAUGAAGCUCCCCUAAGGCCCCCCAGCCUCUCCUGCUCAGGACACAAGACAGCACCAGGCACAGGGCCAUUCCAAACAGCAAAGUCACCGGCGAAGAGCACCAAGUGUGGAAAGCUGGGCACUACGGAGGCCUCGGCCCUGUUUACAAACCUCAGGCUCACCUAAGAGAGAGGACUUGCUGACUGCAGUGUCCAGGGCGCUUCCAGGCCUAGGCAGGCUCUUACUGAAGACGAAGUAUCUGAUGUUUCUGAAGCCUGAAUUCAAGGACAAAGCAAAUUGCU